rnacentral:rRNA from 1 species
GUGGGGAAUCUUGCGCAAUGGGCGAAAGCCUGACGCAGCCAUGCCGCGUGGAUGAUGAAGGUCUUAGGAUUGUAAAAUCCUUUCACCGGUGAAGAUAAUGACUGUAGCCGGAGAAGAAGCCCCGGCUAACUUCGUGCCAGCAGCCGCGGUAAUACGAAGGGGGCUAGCGUUGCUCGGAAUUACUGGGCGUAAAGGGAGCGUAGGCGGACAUUUAAGUCAGGGGUGAAAUCCCGAGGCUCAACCUCGGAACUGCCUUUGAUACUGGGUGUCUUGAGUGUGAGAGAGGUGAGUGGAACUCCGAGUGUAGAGGUGAAAUUCGUAGAUAUUCGGAGGAACACCAGUGGCGAAGGCGGCUCACUGGCUCGAUACUGACGCUGAGGUGCGAAAGCGUGGGGAGCAAACAGGAUUAGAAACCCUAGUAGUCC